rnacentral:rRNA from 1 species
CCUGCCCAGUGACUAGUGUUCAACGGCCGCGGUAUCCUAACCGUGCAAAGGUAGCAUAAUCAUUUGCCCAUUAAUUGUGGGCUAGAAUGAAAGGACCAACGAAAUAAAAGCUGUCUCUAUAAGAUAUGUAAAAAUUAAUCUCUAACUGAAGAUUGUUAGAUAGAGUCGAAGGACAAGAAGACCCUAUAGAGCUUUAUUAAAACAGGAAUACAUUUUUCCUACUAAAAUUCGGUUGGGGCGACCGGGGAAAAUUUUAAUCAUCCCUUAAAAUAAGAUAAAUAAAUCUCAUAAAAGACCCUUAAAUAAGAUCAUAAAAAUAAGCUACCUUAGGGAUAACAGGCUAAUCCCACUAAAGAGUCCUUAUCAAUAGUGGGGGUUGGCACCUCGAUGUUGGCUUAGGGAAACUAUGUGGCGCAAAAGUCACAUAAAGAUGGUUUGUUCAACCAAUAAAUCCCUACAUGAGCUGAGUUCAGACCGGCGUAAGCCAGGUUAGUUUCUAUCCUCGAUAUAUAAAUCCUACUUACAGUACGAAAGGACCUAAGCAAGGGUAAUAUUUACCCAAAAUGAAUUAAUAUAAAAAAUGUUAAAAAUCAUUAUCUAUAUCCUA